rnacentral:rRNA from 1 species
CACUCCUGCGGGAGGCAGCAGUGGGGAAUUUUGGACAAUGGGCGAAAGCCUGAUCCAGCCAUGCCGCGUGCAGGAUGAAGGCCUUCGGGUUGUAAACUGCUUUUGUACGGAACGAAACGGCCUUUUCUAAUAAAGAGGGCUAAUGACGGUACCGUAAGAAUAAGCACCGGCUAACUACGUGCCAGCAGCCGCGGUAAUACGUAGGGUGCCAGCGUUAAUCGGAAUUACUGGGCGUAAAGCGUGCGCAGGCGGUUAUGUAAGACAGUUGUGAAAUCCCCGGGCUCAACCUGGGAACUGCAUCUGUGACUGCAUAGCUAGAGUACGGUAGAGGGGGAUGGAAUUCCGCGUGUAGCAGUGAAAUGCGUAGAUAUGCGGAGGAACACCGAUGGCGAAGGCAAUCCCCUGGACCUGUACUGACGCUCAUGCACGAAAGCGUGGGGAGCAAACAGGAUUAGAUACCCCGGUAGUCCC